rnacentral:rRNA from 1 species
UACGUAGGGUGCGAGCGUUGUCCGGAAUUAUUGGGCGUAAAGAGCUUGUAGGCGGUUUGUCGCGUCUGCCGUGAAAGUCCGGGGCUCAACUCCGGAUCUGCGGUGGGUACGGGCAGACUAGAGUGUGGUAGGGGAGACUGGAAUUCCUGGUGUAGCGGUGAAAUGCGCAGAUAUCAGGAGGAACACCGAUGGCGAAGGCAGGUCUCGUGGGCCAACUACUGACGCUGGAGGAGCGAAAGCAUGGGAGCGAACAGG